rnacentral:lncRNA from 1 species
AGCUGGCGCCGUGCCCCCUGCCCGGUUCUUUCGCGGCCCCUUCACCCACCCCCACGCGCCGCUUGUGCAAAUGGAGGGCUUCUCUUUCUUGAAGACGCCACAAAAUGGCGGCCGCCUAUCGCCCCUCCCCCAACUUGAGUCUGUGUCAGCCUCCCGUCUAGGUCCCGCGUCCCGGCCCUUCCCACUGCGGUAACGCAGAGACCCGUCCCACCCCUUUCAUCCCGUGCGUGGCGAGGUUAUGGAGCUUGGAGUGCUGCAGCUGCCAACCCUCAGGGUACAUAUGCAACCACUGCAGCGAGCUGGCAAGGUAGGUGUCUAGGAAUUUGUCCAUGCUUGGGGGUGGUGUGUGUGUCGGGGGGAGGGGGGCCGCGCAGAGGGGAAAGAGUACGUGUGUGUGUUUGGGGGU